rnacentral:misc_RNA from 1 species
AAGUCGUAACAAGGUUUCCGUAGGUGAACCUGUGGAAGGAUCAUUACAAAUCCAUCCACGUCUCAUAUCCUGAGACCACGUUGAAAUGUUCCCCAGAGCCUCUGCCCUCUGGGCCAGCUUCGGCCGGCCCCUUGGAUCAGCAUGCUCUGGGCUGUUAAACUAGUCAUCUCUGUUGCUCAAAUGUAUCUUGAUUUUCAAUCAAACGAAAACUUGUACAACUUAUAACAAUGGAUCUCUAGGCUCUU